rnacentral:rRNA from 1 species
AUUCCCCUAGUAACUGCGAGUGAAGCGGGAAAAGCUCAAAUUUGUAAUCUGGCGGCCUUCGGUCGUCCGAGUUGUAAUCUAGAGAAGUGCUUUCCGCGCUGGACCGUGUACAAGUCUCCUGGAACGGAGCGUCGUAGAGGGUGAGAAUCCCGUCUUUGACACGGACUACCAGUGCUCUGUGAUGCGCUCUCGAAGAGUCGAGUUGUUUGGGAAUGCAGCUCAAAAUGGGAGGUGAAUUCCUUCUAAAGCUAAAUAUUGGCGAGAGACCGAUAGCGAACAAGUACCGUGAGGGAAAGAUGAAAAGCACUUUGGAAAGAGAGUUAAACAGUACGUGAAAUUGUUGAAAGGGAAACGCUUGAAGUCAGUCGCGUCCGCCGAGACUCAGCCUUGCCUUCUGGCUUGGUGUACUUCUCGGUGGACGGGCCAGCAUCAAUUUUGACCGCCGGACAAGGGCGGGUGGAAAACCCGUGCGCGUAAUGAAAGUGAAAGUUGGGACCCCUGUCGUGGGGGGCACCGACGCCCGGACCAGACCUUCUGUGACGGAUCUGCGGUAGAGCGUGUAUGUUGGGACCCGAAAGAUGGUGAACUAUGCCUGAAUAGGGUGAAGCCAGAGGAAACUCUGGUGGAGGCUCGUAGCGAUUCUGACGUGCAAAUCGAUCGUCAAAUUUGGGUAUAGGGGCGAAAGACUAAUCGAACCAU